rnacentral:lncRNA from 1 species
GCAUGCAAUCUUCCUAAAUAUGCACUAGAACAUGUUUGGGAGUGUUUUUGGGCAUUCGGUUCCGGCACGAAAAAUGAUGCAAAACGGGUGCAUUUCGGCACCCGAAUGCACUAUUGCCGGGUAGCGAAACUCGGGUGGAUUUUUUCGCAACGAACGCAUGCAAUCUUCCUAAUUAGACCCUAGAACAUGUUUGGGAGUGUUUUUGGGCAUUCGGUUCCGGCACGAAAAAUGAUGCAAAACGGGUGCAUUUCGGCACCCGAAUGCACUUUUGCCGGGUAGCGAAACUCGGGUGGAUUUUUUCGCAACGAACGCAUGCAAUCUUCCUAAAUAUGCACUAGAACAUGUUUGGGAGUGUUUUUGGGCAUUCGGUUCCGGCACGAAAAAUGAUGCAAA